rnacentral:misc_RNA from 1 species
UCUCGGCUUAUCACCGGCAGUCCCCCUAGAGUGCCCAACUGAAUGAUGGCAACUAAGGGCGAGGGUUGCGCUCGUUGCGGGACUUAACCCAACAUCUCACGACACGAGCUGACGACAGCCAUGCAGCACCUGUGUGCAGGUCCCCGAAGGGAAGGAAUCCAUCUCUGGAAACCGUCCUGCCAUGUCAAGGGCUGGUAAGGUUCUUCGCGUUGCUUACAGCGUAC